CCUACGGGUGGCAGCAGUGGGGAAUCUUGGGCAAUGGGCGCAAGCCUGACCCAGCAACGCCGCGUGAAGGAAGAAGGCUUUCGGGUUGUAAACUUCUUUUAAGAGGGAAGAGCAGAAGACGGUACCUCUUGAAUAAGCCACGGCUAACUACGUGCAAGCAGCCACGGUAAUCUGUAGGUGGCAAGCGUUGUCCGGAUUUACUGGGUGUAAAGGGCGUGCAGCCGGGAUGACAAGUCAGAAGUGAAAUGCCGGGGCUCAACCGCGGAACUGCAUUUGAAACUGUUUUUCUUGAGUACAGGAGAGGUGAGCGGAAUUCCAUGUGUAGCGGUGAAAUGCGUAGAUAUAAGGAAGAACACCAGUGGCGAAGGCGGAUGACUGGACGGCAACUGACGGUGAGGCGCGAAAGCGUGGGGAGCAAACAGGAUUAGAUACCCGGGUAGUC
rnacentral:rRNA from 1 species